rnacentral:tRNA from 1 species
GCUGCGGCUGGUUCGGAGGCGGGCGUGGUUUCGGUGUUGGAGACAUCGGCGGCGAUUGCAGACGUGCUGCGCGCUUCGACAGCGCCGGCGGAU